GCCAAGUUCUUCUGCUUUAGGUCUCCACGC
rnacentral:piRNA from 1 species